rnacentral:rRNA from 1 species
ACGGCUCAGUAACACGUGGACAACCUGCCCCUUGAGACGGGGAUAAAACCCGGGAAACUGGGUAUAAUACCCNGAUAGAUCUCGAUUGCUGGAAUGCAUCGAGCUUGAAAGCUCCGGCGCUCAAGGAUGGGUCUGCGGCCUAUCAGGUAGUAGUGGGUGUAGCGUACCUACUAGCCUACGACGGGUACGGGUUGUGAGAGCAAGAGCCCGGAGAUGGAUUCUGAGACACGAAUCCAGGCCCUACGGGGUGCAGCAGGCGCGAAAACUUUACAAUGCUGGAAACAGCGAUAAGGGGACCUCGAGUGCCAGGUUACAAAUCUGGCUGUCGUGAUGCCUAAAAAGCAUUGCAUAGCAAGGGCCGGGCAAGACCGGUGCCAGCCGCCGCGGUAACACCGGCGGCUCGAGUGGUAACCGUUAUUAUUGGGUCUAAAGGGUCUGUAGCCGGCCGGAUAAGUCUCUUGGGAAAUCUGGCAGCUUAACUGUCAGGCUUUCAGGAGAUACUGUCUGGCUCGAGGCCGGGAGAGGUGAGAGGUACUUCAGGGGUAGGGGUGAAAUCUUGUAAUCCUUGAAGGACCACCAGUGGCGAAGGCGUCUCACCAGAACGGACCUGACGGCAAGGGACGAAAGCUAGGGGCACGAACCGGAUUAGAUACCCGGGUAGUCCUAGCCGUAAACGAUACUCGCUAGGUGUCGGCAACGGUGCGACCGUUGUCGGUGCCGUAGGGAAGCCGUGAAGCGAGCCACCUGGGAAGUACGGCCGCAAGGCUGAAACUUAAAGGAAUUGGCGGGGGAGCAC